GGGGAAUAUUGCACAAUGGGCGAAAGCCUGAUGCAGCAACGCCGCGUGAAGGAAGAAGGGUUUCGGCUCGUAAACUUCUAUCAACAGGGACGAAAAAAAUGACGGUACCUGAAUAAGAAGCCCCGGCUAACUACGUGCCAGCAGCCGCGGUAAUACGUAGGGGGCAAGCGUUAUCCGGAAUUACUGGGUGUAAAGGGAGAGUAGGCGGCAUGGUAAGUUAGAUGUGAAAGCCCGAGGCUUAACCUCGGGAUUGCAUUUAAAACUAUCAAGCUAGAGUACAGGAGAGGUAAGUGGAAUUCCUAGUGUAGCGGUGAAAUGCGUAGAUAUUAGGAGGAACAUCAGUGGCGAAGGCGGCCACCUUGACCGCUAUUGACGCUGAGGUGCGAAAGCGUGGGGAGCAAACA
rnacentral:rRNA from 1 species